rfam:Loxodonta africana unplaced genomic scaffold scaffold_9, whole genome shotgun sequence.
GGGUAAGUGAAAAGAUGGUGGACCAUGAACAUGUGCGUAAUUCAUGCCGUAUGUCUGCUGACCAUCACCUUCUGAAGCCC